rnacentral:ncRNA from 1 species
AAUACAAAAAAUGACUGAUCGGGUUAUUAAAUUUAAGAUGAAAACCUUCUCAUAUAACAUAAAACCAAUGGGAUACCACUUUGGAACGGCCAGAAUUCUAUCCUUGUGUCAGGGCCUUGGGCCAAGGGACAAUCUCAGGUAGACAAUUUCUAUGGGGUGUAGGCCUUCGAAAAGGUAACAGAGGCGUCAAAGGUUUCCUCGAUCUGAUGGAGAUUGUUCCUCAAGUGCAAAGGUAGAAAGGAGCUUAAAAGCAAGACCCACCCAUCGAGCAGGGACAUAAGUCAACCUUAGUGAUCUGAUGGUGCCGAGUGGAAGGGCUGUCGUUCAACGGAUAA